rnacentral:rRNA from 1 species
UACGGAGGGUGCAAGCGUUAUCCGGAUUCACUGGGUUUAAAGGGUGCGUAGGUGGGUUGGUAAGUCAGUGGUGAAAUCUCCGAGCUUAACUUGGAAACUGCCAUUGAUACUAUUAGUCUUGAAUAUUGUGGAGGUCAGCGGAAUAUGUCAUGUAGCGGUGAAGUGCUUAGAGAUGACAUAGAACACCAAUUGCGAAGGCAGCUGGCUACACAUAUAUUGACACUGAGGCACGAAAGCGUGGGGAUCAAACAGG